rnacentral:rRNA from 1 species
AUUGAACGCUGGCCGUAGGCUUAACACAUGCAAGUCAAGCGGUAGCACAGGGGAGCUUGCUCCCUGGGUGACGAGCGGCGGACGGGUGAGUAAUGUCUGGGAAACUGCCUGAUGGAGGGGGAUAACUACUGGAAACGGUAGCUAAUACCGCAUAACGUCGCAAGACCAAAGAGGGGGACCUUCGGGCCUCUUGCCAUCAGAUGUGCCCAGAUGGGAUUAGCUAGUAGGUGGGGUAAUGGCUCACCUAGGCGACGAUCCCUAGCUGGUCUGAGAGGAUGACCAGCCACACUGGAACUGAGACACGGUCCAGACUCCUACGGGAGGCAGCAGUGGGGAAUAUUGCACAAUGGGCGCAAGCCUGAUGCAGCCAUGCCGCGUGUGUGAAGAAGGCCUUCGGGUUGUAAAGCACUUUCAGCGAGGAGGAAGGUGGUGAACUUAAUACGUUCAUCAAUUGACGUUACUCGCAGAAGAAGCACCGGCUAACUCCGUGCCAGCAGCCGCGGUAAUACGGAGGGUGCAAGCGUUAAUCGGAAUUACUGGGCGUAAAGCGCACGCAGGCGGUUUGUUAAGUCAGAUGUGAAAUCCCCGGGCUCAACCUGGGAACUGCAUUUGAAACUGGCAAGCUAGAGUCUCGUAGAGGGGGGUAGAAUUCCAGGUGUAGCGGUGAAAUGCGUAGAGAUCUGGAGGAAUACCGGUGGGCGAAGGCGGCCCCCUGGACGAAGACUGACGCUCAGGUGCGAAAGCGUGGGGAGCAAACAGGAUUAGAUACCCUGGUAGUCCACGCUGUAAACGAUGUCGAUUUGGAGGUUGUGCCCUUGAGGCGUGGCUUCCGGAGCUAACGCGUUAAAUCGACCGCCUGGGGAGUACGGCCGCAAGGUUAAAACUCAAAUGAAUUGACGGGGGCCCGCACAAGCGGUGGAGCAUGUGGUUUAAUUCGAUGCAACGCGAAGAACCUUACCUACUCUUGACAUCCAGAGAACUUUCCAGAGAUGGAUUGGUGCCUUCGGGAACUCUGAGACAGGUGCUGCAUGGCUGUCGUCAGCUCGUGUUGUGAAAUGUUGGGUUAAGUCCCGCAACGAGCGCAACCCUUAUCCUUUGUUGCCAGCGGUUCAGCCGGGAACUCAAAGGAGACUGCCAGUGAUAAACUGGAGGAAGGUGGGGAUGACGUCAGGUCAUCAUGGCCCUUACGAGUAGGGCUACACACGUGCUACAAUGGCAUAUACAAAGAGAAGCGACCUCGCGAGAGCAAGCGGACCUCAUAAAGUAUGUCGUAGUCCGGAUUGGAGUCUGCAACUCGACUCCAUGAAGUCGGAAUCGCUAGUAAUCGUAGAUCAGAAUGCUACGGUGAAUACGUUCCCGGGCCU